AAUCCUCUUUCCCAGUUCGUAAGACUGUCUGGGACAUUCGGAAACGGCAGCGUUUUCUACUCUCCUUACCGUGCACGCCGGCGUGAGAUCCAUUCCGCCACCGAUCCCACCUCCACCGGCACUUCCCGCGUUCAAAUCGAUUAAGCUCGUUUAUUUGCUGAUUUCUCUUCCACUUUCGUUCUGCAGCACAGUUUCCCCACACUCAGCUUAUGCUGGUCAGACUUGUGCUGCAAGAGGUUGAUUGCAUCUGGUGAAGGGGAUACUGGUGGAAUGAUGGAUACUCACGCAGAAGAUUCUGCUAGAUCUGAGGAGAAUUUUCCUGAUGUGACUCAUCAUAAUGAAGAUGGAAGCAACGGAAAUCUUAUAUUGGAAAAUGGUUUGUCUGAUGGCAAUCAAGGUCCUGCUGAUACUCAUGAUCAGCUUCUACAAAUGGUUAUGGACCUCAGGUUUCAGAAUGACUUCUUGAAGUCCCAGUUUGAGGGAUUUAAAAAUGUAGACAGUGUACAUAGUGACUCUAAUAUACAGAAAGGAGUUGGUGGCUUGGAAGAUGGGGAAUCUGACAUUGUGAAAGAACUAAAGGAUAAGAUACAAUUGUUAAAUAAAGAAUUUCUGGAAGAAAAACAAACAAGAAUUGCAUCAGAAGAGGCUUUGAAGCAUCUUCAAACGGCUUACUCAGAGGCAGAAGCAAAGGCCCAAGAGCUCUCUGAAAAGCUUGCAGAAGCUCAAACGAAGUUAGACCAAGAAGUAAAAGAGCGUGAAGAGAAGUACCUUGAACUUGAUUCCAAGUUUAAUAGGCUUCACAAACGAGCAAAACAGCGCAUUCAAGAAGUUCAAAAGGAAAAAGAUGAUCUUGAGGCCCGCUUCUCUGAGGUGAAUGAAAUUGCAGAGCGAGCAUCAUCCCAACAGUCAGCAUUGCAACAAGAAUUAGAGCGCACUAGGAAGCAAGCAAAUGAGGCAUUGAAAGCCAUGGAUGUUGACAGACAACAACUAAGAAGUGCAAACAACAAUCUUCGAGAUACCAUUGAAGAUUUAAGGCGUUCAUUGCAACCUAAAGAGAGUGCUAUUGAGGCAUUGCAACAAUCAGUUGUAGAAAAGGAACAGAUGUUGGAAGAUAUGAGAGGGUUGCUUCAGGCUGCUGAAGAAAAAAGGCAAGCGGCACUAGCUGAGCUCUCAGCUAAACAUCAAAAGAAUAUACAGAGUUUGGAGGCUCAACUUAAUGAUGCAUUGUCUGACAGAAGUAAGGCAACUGAAUCCAUUUCUUCACUGCAGGUUCUAGUUGCAGAAAAAGAAUCCAGAAUUGCAGAGAUGGAAGCGGCAUCAACAGGAGAAGCUGCACGACUCAGAGCAGCUGUGGAAAGUGUGAAAGGGGAGCUUUCUCACCUAAAAGAGGAGCAUGAAAAAGAAAGGGAAAGCUGGGAGACUGCUUCUCAGGCACUUAAAGCAAAACUUGAAAUUGCAGAGAGCAACUGCAUACGUGCAGAAGUUGAAGUAGCAAAAAUAAGAAGUCAGCUGGAAUCAGAGGUAUCCACCCAAACAAGAAUCCUCAAUAUGAGAGAUGCCGAAUUGUUGGCUGCCAAAGAAGAGAUCAGCUCUCUUGAGAAGGAAUUUUCUUCAUACAAAGUUCGUGCACAUGCACUUCUUCAAAAGAAGGAUGCUGAGCUGGCUGCUGCUAAAGAUUCUGAACAACUCAAAGCUCUAGAGGAAACUCUGAGAGAGGUGGAAAAUGAAGUAUUAUCAAUAACAGAAGAAAGGGAUAGAGUUCUUCAAGAUCUUCAAUCUGCUAUGGCUAAUCAUGAGAAAGAGAUUGCAGAAAGAGACACAGCCCUUGAAAAUGUCAAGCAACAGAUAAGGAGCUUUGAAAUAAAGCUUGACUCAGCUAAUGUUAAACACCUAAAAGAGAAAGAGGAAUGGGGACUAAGUCUUCAAAAUGUAGAAGAAACAUGGAGAAUCAGAUGCGAGGCAAUGAAGGCUGAAAAUGAAGCUACUGCUACAAAAGAUAUGCAAAAGGAAUUGGAAGAGUUCAAACAGCGAUGUAAAAAACUGAAGGAAGAACAUGCUUCAUUUCAUGAUCUUGCUGAUAGAAUGAUUGAGGAGAAAGACUAUGAAAUAUCCAGACUUAUAGAUGAAAAUAAGAAUCUUCGUCAGUCUCUUCAAUCAAGACCACCAGUCGAUCAGAAUGAUAAUUAUACAACAGCCAUGCAUAAAUUGGAUUCAACAAAUUUAAGCCCCUCAGCAGCAGAACAGCAAAUUCUGAUUUUGGCUAGACAACAAGCCCAAAGAGAGGAAGAGCUAGCACUGUCACAGCGCCAUAUUUUAGCUCUUCAAGAAGAAAUUGAGGAGCUUGAACGUGAGAAUCGUCUCCACAGCCAACAGGUUUAUACGUGUUAAAAUUUUGGAAUUGUAUUUCCAUCUGAAAAAAUGUCACAAGUGGCUCUACAAGGAGGCAAUGUUAAAGGAUGAGCUUCGCAGUAUGGAAAGAUCAAAGAAAAGGGAAGGUGUUGAUAUGACAUAUUUGAAAAAUGUUAUCUUAAAGCUGCUUGAGACUGGUGAAGUUGAGGUAUUGCUACCAGUUAUUGGAAUGCUGCUUCAGUUUAGUCCAGAAGAGAUACAGAAGUGUCAACAGGCAUAUCACAACUCCACAGAUGUUCCACCACCAAAUCCUGCAAGCGAUACUUCAGGAUCUGGCCUAUCGCUUUUCUCAAGAUUCACAUUUUCUUAAUGGCAUAAAUGGGAGUGCUGGCGAAUUUUGUUGUUGCUGUUAGAAUGUCUGCUUCUUCCAUCCAGCUCUAGGAGUAUGUUUAUUUAGUCACUGUUACUGAGAAAGCAGGUUUGUAUCUGUAAAUUAGAAGGGGGAUGGCGGGGGGAUCUUGGUUACAACAGCAAUUGUUCCAUGCAAGUGUAAAGAAACAUCAAGAGUAAUGUACAACAAAUACCACAACAGGGAGGGAGAAUUCACGGGAUGUUCUGCCUGUUAUUUAGCCAAAGAUAUAGUUCAUUUUUUACCAUUGAAUAUGUCGAGUCACAAAAUAUUACUAGAAAAUUGUAUCAUGUCUUUAUAUGAUUUUUCAAUUGGCAAUGCCAAAGGAAUGAGAAGUGUCCUUUUGAGUUCAUGUUUGCAAAUAAUCAUAAGGCAUUUUUAGUAUCACUGAGUUUUCAUGAA